GUAAAAGCGAAGCUCUCAAUUUACCGGUUGAUCUACGAACCUACCCUCACCUAUGGCCACGAGCUGUGGGUAGUGACCGAAAGAACGAGAUCGCGGAUACAAGCGGCAGAAAUGAGCUUCCUCCGAAGGGUGGCUGGCCUCUCCCUUAGAGAUAGGGUGAGAAGUUCGGCCAUCCGGGAGGGGCUCAGAGUAGAGCAGCUGCUGCUCCACAUCGAAAGGAGCCAGCUGAGGUGGUUCGGGCAUCUGACAAGGAUGCCCCCUGGGCGCCUCCUGGGUGAGGUGUUCCAGGCAUGUCCCACCGGGAGGAGGCCCCGGGGCAGACCCAGGACACGCUGGAGAGAUUAUAUCUCUCGGCUGGCCUGGGAACGCCUUGGUGUUCCCCCGGAUAAGCUGGAGGAGGUGGCUGGGGAGAGGGAGGUCUGGGCCUCUUUGCUUAUGCUGCUGCCCCCGCGACCCGGCCUCGGAUAAAGCGGAUGAAAAUGGAUGGAUGGAUGGGUUAAAGUGGGAGCCAUAUUUACAGGCCUGAACUUGAUUGACAGCAGUGAUGGAUAGUUAAUGAAAGUCAUGGGUGGCUUUCUUGCCUGGGAAGCUCUCUUUUACAUCAUGUUGGAGGUUCAUAAUGGGAAAUCUAAGGAGAAAGGCAGUGCUAGUGUAGAAAUGGAAUCAGAAUCGGUAAGUUGAAAGAAAUAUAAAAGCAAAUAACAAUUAAUCACCAUAACACUGCAAUGAUCUUUUAAUUGAAUUACAUUGUUUUGUUAGGUAAAAAUUGAUGGUCUGCUGAUCGGUCUGUUCUUUCUGGGAAACAUUUGCUUUUUGGUGACACUUUUGGUUGGAAUUGGGGUGAAAUAAGAGCCCCAAAAGAAUUGUCUGAAGAAUUGUUUUUUUCUUUUGGUAUUUUAUCCAAAUACACCUGAUAGGAUAUUGUGCACUGAAAGUUUGGACCCAUUGAGAUUGUUUUCUCUUUCAGUACGCUCUUACUUGUUUUUUUUUUUUUUAUUCUUUUAGUGGAUGUUUUUGUUCGAUAUUUUCAUUAAGCUUUCAGUUUCGUGGCUAAACUUAAGUUCAAUUACUGAAGUAAAUUGGCAAUCAGUAUCUAACCAAACUCCAUUUGGUCAGAACUGAUUGUCCAUUAUAGAGUGCAAUGAUGUUUUUCCACGAGCAUUAUAAAAUUUUUAGUUGUUGAUUUUUAGGAAUCCUAGUUCCUGUUAGAGGUAAAGACCUUGUAUUUGAUUCCAUGUGAGCUGAUUUCUGUCAUCCAAUGUUUUCUUGUAUUGUGUUGUUAAGUCUUUGUCUUUGUUUCCUGUUAUGUUGCUUCCUGUUUUAUUUUGUGAGUCUCUUGUCUCUUAUGUUUUGUCCUUGGUAAGUUUAAGGUGUGCUUCAUACACCCAUGUGUUUCUAAUGCAUGUAUAGUCUCAGAUUCUCUUUGUCAUUGUGUUGGCUUACUUACAUGUGUUUCUGUGGUUUUCGUGUUUGGACUUUGACAUGCUAAUAAAAGGUCAUUUUAUGAGUUUUACCUUAAGCCUGUCUCUGACUGUUGUAUUUAAGUCGUGUGUCUUCCUCAGGCUUUGAUAAAUAUAAAGUAAAGUAAUGAAUUUUUCUGUAGGCAAGCCAAUUUAGCUA
ensembl:lncRNA